rnacentral:rRNA from 1 species
CAGUAGCCACGGUAAUACGUAGGGUGCGAGCGUUAAUCGGAAUUACUGGGCGUAAAGCGUACGCAGGCGGUUUGUUAAGUCAGAUGUGAAAUCCCCGAGCUUAACUCGGGAACUGCAUUUGAAACUGGCAGGCUAGAGUCUCGUAGAGGGGGGUAGAAUUCCAGGUGUAGCGGUGAAAUGCGUAGAGAUCUGGAGGAAUACCGGCGGCGAAGGCGGCCCCCUGGACGAAGACUGACGCUCAGGUACGAAAGCGUGGGGAGCAAACAGGAUUAGAUACCCGCGUAGUCCCUGUCUCUUAUAC